AAGUCGUAACAAGGUCUCCGUAGGUGAACCUGCGGAGGGAUCAUUCACAUGAUCAUAAUCUUAAACAAUUCUGUGAACUUUUUUUUUAAAACCCAUCUUUUUUUCUUGUUAAUUCUUUGUUAAAAAGAAAAAAUUACAUUCGAUCGUACAUUAGAUAGCUGGUUUUUACUUUUAAUCGAGUAAUUUCUACAGCUGAUUGAAAUAUAUCUAAACAAUAUAUUUGAAUCAAGACAAACAAACAUAGAAUUUAACAACUCUAUGCCCUGGAUAUCUUGGUUCUC
rnacentral:misc_RNA from 1 species